GAUAGGUGUCCGAGACGGGACCAUUUUGUUCGGCAGGGGUGCUGAGUCUCACGUCGCAAACGGGAAGAGGAAAACACCGGCAAACGCUUCUGCUGUGGAGGAUGAACGGGCUUACCAAGCGGACUCUGCAGGCUUGUCAAACGAACAAGCACAGGAUACCAGUCCAAUAGAAGCGUCAUGGAAGCGCAUGGCACCUUCCCUGCAGUGCGGCGGGGACCAGAUGAAGUUCAGAGCGGUGGGACCUGGAGCUUCGAAGUUUGCAGUGGAUCAAGGAAAUGCACCCCCAAUGCCUCUGUCCCAGGUCCCCUCCAACUGUGGCUACACCAUGCAGAGGAACUCUCUUGCACUUGUGAUGCUGGUUCCAUAUGAUGGCUGCAAUAUCGUUCAAGAGG